rnacentral:rRNA from 1 species
GCUUGUCUCAAAAGAUUAAGCCAUGCAUGUCUCAGUACAAGCCAAAUUAAGGUGAAACCGCGAAAGGCUCAUUAAAUCAGUUAUGGUUCCUUAGAUCGUACCCACAAUUACUUGGAUAACUGUGGUAAUUCUAGAGCUAAUACAUGCAAAUAGAGCUCCGACCGGAGACGGAAGGAGUGCUUUUAUUAGAUCAAAACCAAUCGGUGGCGGGCUCGUCAUCGUACAACUUGGUGACUCUGAAUAACUUUACGCUGAUCGCACGGUCAUCGCACCGGCGACGCAUCUUUCAAAUGUCUGCCUUAUCAACUGUCGAUGGUAGGUUCUGCGCCUACCAUGGUUGUAACGGGUAACGGGGAAUCAGGGUUCGAUUCCGGAGAGGGAGCCUGAGAAACGGCUACCACAUCCAAGGAAGGCAGCAGGCGCGCAAAUUACCCACUCCCGGCACGGGGAGGUAGUGACGAAAAAUAACGAUACGGGACUCAUCCGAGGCCCCGUAAUCGGAAUGAGUACACUCUAAACCCUUUAACGAGGAUCAAUUGGAGGGCAAGUCUGGUGCCAGCAGCCGCGGUA